ensembl:lncRNA
GCUUUUCCCUCAAACCCUAGAAUGGAUUCCCAGGACAUGGGGCUCAUCUGGUGGGGGAACUGCAUUAGUGCAUAUGAGAGGUCAGGGAGGCCCUUUGCUGCAGGGCCAUGUGCUAAUGCUCCCAGAGUUACUGCGGCGCUGCUCAGAGCACAGACGGACACGGCACCUCCUUCUCCGAAGGGUCCAAGGGCUCUUCCAAUGUCAUCAUCUCAGCCUUCCCCACAAAACAUCCCACCUGGAGACGUCCUUUAUAAUGUAGCGGACACAGACGCUGACCAAGAAAACAAGUAUUAAUCUUUCUCCUAUCUGCAAUUGCCUCCAUGAUGCUCCAGCAUGCUGCUUACCUAGUUGGUUGCAGCUACAGUACAUUUUCCAGUAACUCUUGCAGUUACAUGGGCUGAGUCCUGGCCAACAAAGAAGUGGCCAGAAAUGAUAGAUGUCUCUUCAAACCCUGACCUCUUAAUAAACCCACAUUGAUCUUCCA